rnacentral:rRNA from 1 species
AAACGACUCUCGGCAACGGAUAUCUCGGCUCUCGCAUCGAUGAAGAACGUAGCGAAAUGCGAUACUUGGUGUGAAUUGCAGAAUCCCGUGAACCAUCGAGUCUUUGAACGCAAGUUGCGCCCGAAGCCACUAGGCUGAGGGCACGUCUGCCUGGGUGUCAC